ensembl:lncRNA
AGGAGCAUUUAGCCCCCAGGCCUUCUGAUGCCUAAGGAUUGCUCACGUUACUUCAGCCAAUCAGAGAACUGUGCAUGAGUGGAUUGCUUAUCAUGUAGCCCCCCUCCCUCACCAGGCCUUUCAAAAUACUUUGCUGAAACCUUCUGGGGAGUUGGGGGUUUGGGGGGCAAGAAAGAAAGUGAAGUCGCUCAGUGGUGUCCGACUCUUUGCGACCCCGUGGACUGUAGCCUACCAGGCUUCUCCAUCCAUAGGAUUCUCCAGGCAAGAAUACUGGAGUGGGUUACUGUUUCCUUCUCCAGAGGAUCUUCCUGACCCAAGGAUUGAACCCAGGUCUCCUGCAUUGGAGGCAGACACUUUAACCACUGAGCCACCAGGGAGCGACCCAUUUUCCUUGCAUGGCCUGCAGUAAGCCUUUCUCUGUUCCAAACACCAACAUUUCAGUACUGUUUGGCCUCACUGUGCCAUCAGGCACAAGGACUUGGCCUUUGGGAACAAGAGAAACAGAGGCCUGAGCCCCUUUCCAGAAGAUUUCCCAGCUGAGCUGAUUGGCUGUGGCAUUAGUCCAGGUAACCAAGUACCCUUUCCACGCAGAAGCAGCAGACCCAGAGUCAUAGCCAAGCACAAGCACAUACGUCUUUCACAGAGCACUGCGCUCUCUCAGGGCCGAGUCUCACCUUGGAGGUUGAUGAUGCUCCGAAGUCACGGGGAGCUGGAGCCCAUCUCCACCGACAGCCGUCUGGCUUUUGGAUUCCAGUCACAUUCUUCACCAGCCGAAGGGAGUGCUCAAGGCCCUUCUGUCCAUGGGAUUCUCCAGGCAAGACUACUGAAGUGGAUUGCCAUGUCCUCCUCCAGGGAUCUUCCUGACCCAGGGAUCGAACCCACACCUUUUAUGUCUCCUGCAUUGACAGGUGAUAAUAACUUACUGCUGCUGCCGUGCUAAGUCGCUUCAGUCGUGCCCGACUCUGUGCGACCCCAUAGAAAUAUACAAUAAGGUGGCAAAUUUUUUUUGGUAAAUGCAAGAAGGAAAUGAGUGCCCAAUUCACCCUUCCUUUCCCACUUAUAUAGUUUUGCUUUACUGCUUAUUCAUAAACGGGACAAAAUAGGUGUGAGCUGAGCAUUAAAAGAGUUAUACCAGUGUGGUCCAUUUGCAGACAUAAGGACGGUAUCACUGUUAGAAACAGUCUAGUAGUUAGGAUUUGGUCUGUAGUAGGAGUAACAGCAAGCAGGAAAUUAACACUAGUCAAUAACUCAUUUGACAGGUACUGGGGACACCCAGGUACUUGCCCUAGCUGAGCUGGGCAUGUUAUGUGACCUUUAUUGAAAUAUUUGAUUUCUGUGCUAUAAAAUGGACAUCGCCAUAUUUCUUUCUUCCUAGUCUUUCAAGAAAAGGUAAGAAG